rnacentral:tRNA from 1 species
UGCGGGAUGGAGCAGAUGGCAGCUCUUCGGGCUCAUAACCCGAAGGUCGCAGGUUCGAGUCCUGCUCCCACAA